GGGGCUAUAGCUCAGUGGUAGAACACUUGCUUGGGAUAUAGGAAGGCCUGGGUUAAAUCCCCAGCACCCCCC
rnacentral:tRNA from 1 species